rnacentral:piRNA from 1 species
UGAUCAAUUAUCCAGGAGUACACAAAC